rnacentral:rRNA from 1 species
AACGAACGCUGGCGGCAUGCCUAACACAUGCAAGUCGAACGAACCCUUCGGGGUUAGUGGCGCACGGGUGCGUAACGCGUGGGGAUCUGCCCUUGGCUUCGGAAUAACAGUUAGAAAUGACUGCUAAUACCGGAUGAUGUCUUCGGACCAAAGAUUUAUCGGCCAGGGAGGAGCGCGCGUAGGAGUAGGUAGUUGGUGGGGUAAAGGCCUGCCAAGCCGACGAUCCUUAGCUGGUCUGAGAGGAUGAUCAGCCACACUGGGACUGAGACACGGCCCAGACCCCUACGGGAGGCAGCAGUGGGGAAUAUUGGACACUGGGCGAAAGCCUGAUCCAGCAAUGCCGCGUGAGUGAUGAAGGCCUUAGGGUCGUAAAGCUCUUUUACCCGGGAUGAUAAUGACAGUACCGGGAGAAUAAGCCCCGGCUAACUCCGUGCCAGCCGCCGCCGUAACAC